rnacentral:misc_RNA from 1 species
GAUGAAGAACGCAGCGAAAUGCGAUAAGUAAUGUGAAUUGCAGAAUUUAGUGAAUCAUCGAAUCUUUGAACGCACCUUGCGCUCUUUGGUAUUCCGAAGAGCAUGCCUGUUUGAGUGUCAUGAAAAUAUCAACCUUGACUUGGGUUUUGUGCUCUAGUCUCGGCUUGGAAUUGGGUGCUUGCCGCUUUUACGAGCGGCUCACCUUAAAUGUAUUAGCUGGAUCUGUCUUUGAGACUUGGUUUGACUUGGCGUAAUAAGUAUUUCGCUAAGGACAUUCUUCGGAGUGGCCUCGUUUCUAGGACGCUUGUCCGCUUUCCAAUACAAGUUCCACCUCGUGGACAUGACUUUUUAUUAUCUGGCCUCAAAUCAGGUAGGACUACCCGCUGAACUUAAGCAUAUCAAUAAGCGGAGGA